rnacentral:lncRNA from 1 species
AGAACUCUUUUUUUUUCUUUUCAAUAUAAGAUUGCUGACAACUUUCGAAUCACAAAUAAUGAACCCAAACAGGACCUCUUUCUCCACACUGAUGGGUAAAGUGAAUUAAAAAGAGGUUCUCAUGAUGCAACCUCCCAGCGUCAAAGGUAUCUUUUUUUCCACACUGAUGUGCUGCAGUUUAUACGAUUCUUAUUUUAUCAAUAAGCAUGAAUAGAGUAGACCACAUAUAUUACAUGCCGAUGUAAAAAAGAUCAAAUUUUUUCCACACCCUGGCUACCAUUAACGCUAAAUGAGGAAAAGAAAGAGCACAACUUUCAACUAACUGAACUAAUUCAAGAUCGCCGGUGGAAAAUAUAUCAUAAAAUGGUAUCGACUCCUCCGCUACGAAGUCGAUUGCCUGAAAACUAAGAACCCGCAUCUCGAUUCAAAGGAAUAAGACCGACUUACUCCAAAUAUGAUCCAUGUCUUGAGCUCUGUAGCUCAAAUUCUUGAUGGAAAACUAUAAAGAAACCAGUGAAACCGUGGAAUUAGAAUGAGAUUAUACCUGACCUGACGAAGCGCCGAGGAAAGCCAUGGCCGCUUCUUUGGAGAGGCAGAGGGUUUCAGUCGGUGGUGGGGAGGAGAAGAGAGGAGGCAUCGGUGGGAGUAAGGGAUCGAAAGCCUGGAAGUAGGACUCGCCAUUCUAACAAGCUUCGAAGUCCCCUCUCUCUCCCUCUCCCUCUGUGAGAGUACGUUUAGAGUGGAAAGGAGGCCACGUCAAAUAUACGGCGGAUUGGCGAUUCCGUCCCACUCCUUUGGCCGAUUGGGAUGAUAAGAGGAGGGAAUGAGAUGGUGAGAUCGAAAUCAUCGCCUCAUCCCUUGGACUCGGUUUGAUUCGCAGGAAGACGGGAGGGGAAAAGAAUCAGCGAAAAAACAAAAGAUUAUCUCAUAUUU